GACGAACGCUGGCGGCGUGCUUAACACAUGCAAGUCGAACGGUGAAAGCGGAGCUUGCUCCGCUGGAUCAGUGGCGAACGGGUGAGUAACACGUGGGCAACCUGCCCCUCACUUCGGGAUAACUCCGGGAAACCGGGGCUAAUACCGGAUAUGACCUCCUUGGGCAUCCUUGGAGGUGGAAAGUUUUUCGGUGAGGGAUGGGCCCGCGGCCUAUCAGCUUGUUGGUGAGGUAGUGGCUCACCAGGGCGACGACGGGUAGCCGGCCUGAGAGGGCGAACGGCCAGAAUGGGAAUGAGCCACGGCUCAGACUCGUACGGGAGGCAGCAGUGGGGAAUAUUGCGCAAUGGGCGAAAGCCUGCCGCAGCAACGCCGCGUGCGGGAUGACGGCCUUCGGGUUGUAAACCGCUUUCAGCAGGGAAGAAGCCGCAAGGUGACGGUACCUGCAGAAGAAGCACCGGCUAACUACGUGCCAGCCGCCACCGUAA
rnacentral:rRNA from 1 species